rnacentral:rRNA from 1 species
AUUGAACGCUGGCGGCAUGCCUUACACAUGCAAGUCGAACGGCAGCGGGGGAGAAGCUUGCUUUUCCUGCCGGCGAGUGGCGAACGGGUGAGUAAUACAUCGGAACGUGCCCUGUAGUGGGGGAUAACUAGUCGAAAGAUUAGCUAAUACCGCAUACGACCUGAGGGUGAAAGUGGGGGACCGCAAGGCCUCAUGCUAUAGGAGCGGCCGAUGUCUGAUUAGCUAGUUGGUGGGGUAAAGGCCUACCAAGGCGACGAUCAGUAGCUGGUCUGAGGAGAGGAUCAGCCACACUGGGACUGAGACACGGCCCAGACUCCUACGGGAGGCAGCAGUGGGGAAUUUUGGACAAUGGGCGAAAGCCUGAUCCAGCAAUGCCGCGUGUGUGAAGAAGGCCUUCGGGUUGUAAAGCACUUUUGUCCGGAAAGAAAUGGCUCUGGUUAAUACCUGGGGUCGAUGACGGUACCGGAAGAAUAAGGACCGGCUAACUACGUGCCAGCAGCCGCGGUAA